rnacentral:pre_miRNA from 13 species
UUUUUUUAGCCGAAUUAAAGCGAUUGCAAACUAAGUAGUAGUGCCGCAGGUAACUUUGUAUGAGAUUACUUGCUCCCUGCUGCUUAAACUGAAAUCGUUUACUCGCAGUUGUUCUU